GACGAACGCUGGCGGCGUGCUUAACACAUGCAAGUCGAACGAGACGAUUGAAAGCUUGCUUUCGAAAGUCGAGUGGCAAACGGGUGAGUAACGCGUAGACAACCUGCCUUUGAGAUGGGGACAACAGUUCGAAAGGACUGCUAAUACCGAAUGUUGUAUAUUUUCCACAUGGAAGAUAUAUUAAAGAUGGCCUCUAUUUAUAAGCUAUCGCUCAAAGAUGGGUCUGCGUCUGAUUAGCUAGUUGGUGGGGUAACGGCCUACCAAGGCGACGAUCAGUAGCCGGUCUGGGAGGAUGAACGGCCACAUUGGGACUGAGACACGGCCCAGACUCCUACGGGAGGCAGCAGUGGGGAAUCUUCCACAAUGGACGAAAGUCUGAUGGAGCAACGCCGCGUGAGUGAAGAAGGGUUUCGGCUCGUAAAGCUCUGUUGUCGGGGACGAAUGUGCAGUAUUUGAAUAAAGUACUGUAAUGACGGUACCUGACGAGGAAGCCACGGCUAACUACGUGCCAGCCGCCGCGGUAA
rnacentral:rRNA from 1 species